rnacentral:rRNA from 1 species
CCUACGGGUGGCAGCAGUGGGGAAUAUUGGUCAAUGGUGGCGACUCUUACCCAGCAAUGUCGCGUGAAUGAGGAAGGUAUUCAGAUUGUAAAGUUCUUUAAUUCAGGACGAAAAAAAUGACGGUACCCAAGGAAUAAGCGCCGGGUAACUACGUGCCAGCAGCGGCGGCAAUACGUAGGGGGCAAGCGUUGUUCGGAUUAACGGGGCGUAAGGGUUGUGUAGGCGGUGUAGGUAGUUAGAAGGGAAAUACCUAGAGCUUAACUCCGGUGCUGCUUGUAAAACUGGUAUACUUGAGUGCAGUAGAGGAAAGUGGAAUGCGUAGUGUAGCGGUGGAAUGCGUAGAUAUCAGGAGGAACAUCAGUGGCGAAGGCGACUUUCUGGCUUGUAACUGACGCUGAGGCACGAAAGUGUGGGGAGCAAACAGGAUUAGAUACCCGAGUAGUC